rnacentral:tRNA from 1 species
UCCCUAGUGGCCAAGUUGGUAAAGAGUCUGCCUGCAAUCAAUGCAGGAGACCCAGGUUCGAUCCCUGGGUCGGGAA